GAUGAACGCUGGCGGCGUGCCUAAUACAUGCCAGUCGAGCGAACAGACGAGGAGCUUGCUCCUCUGACGUUAGCGGCGGACGGGUGAGUAACACGUGGAUAACCUACCUAUAAGACUGGGAUAACUUCGGGAAACCGGAGCUAAUACCGGAUAAUAUAUUGAACCGCAUGGUUCAAUAGUGAAAGACGGUUUUGCUGUCACUUAUAGAUGGAUCCGCGCCGCAUUAGCUAGUUGGUAAGGUAACGGCUUACCAAGGCGACGAUGCGUAGCCGACCUGAGAGGGUGAUCGGCCACACUGGAACUGAGACACGGUCCAGACUCCUACGGGAGGCAGCAGUAGGGAAUCUUCCGCAAUGGGCGAAGGCCUGACGGAGCAACGCCGCGUGAGUGAUGAAGGUCUUCGGAUCGUAAAACUCUGUUAUUAGGGAAGAACAAAUGUGUAAGUAACUAUGCACGUCUUGACGGUACCUAAUCAGAAAGCCACGGCUAACUACGUG
rnacentral:rRNA from 1 species